GACGAACGCUGGCGGCGUGCUUAACACAUGCAAGUCGAACGGAAAGGCCCUGCUUGCCGGGUACUCGAGUGGCGAACGGGUGAGUAACACGUGGGUGAUCUGCCCUGCACUUCGGGAUAAGCUUGGGAAACUGGGUCUAAUACCGGAUAGGAGCCAUCUUUAGUGUGGUGGUUGGAAAGUUUUUUCGGUGUAGGAUGAGCUCGCGGCCUAUCAGCUUGUUGGUGGGGUAAUGGCCUACCAAGGCGGCGACGGGUAGCCGGCCUGAGAGGGUGUACGGCCACAUUGGGACUGAGAUACGGCCCAGACUCCUACGGGAGGCAGCAAUGGGGAAUAUUGCACAAUGGGCGCAAGCCUGAUGCAGCGACGCCGCGUGGGGGAUGAAGGCCUUCGGGUUGUAAACUCCUUUCGCUAGGGACGAAGCUUUUUUGUGACGGUACCUAGAUAAGAAGCACCGGCUAACUACGUG
rnacentral:rRNA from 1 species